AAAUUAGUGGCCAUGAAACUGGAUAUAUUCACCGUUAAAUUUGAAAGGGUAUGUUUUACUUCCUCUUCAAGUUUGGCAAUCAUAGCCUUCGUAUCCUACGAGAAGGAAACGCCAUGCAGUAAUGUUCAGAUCAGUGGAAAGAAAUUUUACUUCUGAAGAUAAAACGAAGAUAUUUACCUCUUCAUUUUGUUGAAUCUCCUCUUCUUCCUCCUAAUAAAUAAGUAAAAAAAUAAGACGGUGUUUUUGGUUCAACGUGUUUAAAUUAUUAUAAAACAGCAUUGUGUGUCCAUCACUUAAAGUGCCUAUAUCAUGUUAUUGGAUUUCUGCUUUGUAGAUACUUCAGGUUACAUUAAAAACUUUUGUAAUAUAUUCUAUAUUUCGAAAAUAUGAUAGUGUUGUAUAUUUUUGAAA